UUGAACACGCCCCGGGUGGUGACGCACUGAGUACCGUCGCCGUGACAGAGGCCGCAGCGGUCCUCCUGCGCCGAGCCCUCGAUGGUCCAAUCACAGGUGACCCUCUACAGAAAGACCCCAGCAGCGCCUUCGUCAGUUAGGAGCGUUGAGGCUGACACAUCCCCGCGAUCUCGGAGACUCCGAGCGUGGCGCACCAGUCCGUCACACGGCUGCAGAUGUUGUACCUGAGAGCGGCGGCGACGAGGAGGAGGAGGUGGUGGAGGGGCGCGGCGCAGGUGGGCAGCAGCGGCGGGCGACACAAGUUGAGGGAGGAAGUCGCAACGCCCCUCCCUUUACACCACCCUUGGAAGGAAGAGGACAAGGAAGAGAAGAAGGGCGCGAAGAAGGAGUAGCCGGAGGAAGGUGUUUCGUAAGGAGCCUCGUAACCUCAGCUCCAGGGCGGGUGUCAAAAAUAGGAGCCGAACCUGGACGCCCCGGCCCAGUCCGGUUCCUGGUCGUGCCUUUUUGAUUCUGGGACUUCGCUGGACGAGACUGCAAGGUAA